ACCUUGGUAGCUCAGUCGGUUGAGCGUCUGACUGCGGCUCAGGUCACGAUCUCAGUUUGUGGGUUUGAGCCCCGUGUUGGGUG
rnacentral:tRNA from 1 species